rnacentral:rRNA from 1 species
CCUACGGGAUGCAGCAGUGAGGAAUAUUGGUCAAUGGCCGAGAGGCUGAACCAGCCAAGUCGCGUGAGGGAAGACGGCCCUACGGGUUGUAAACCUCUUUUGUCGGGGCGCCAAGCGAGUCACGUGUGACUCAUUGAGAGUACCCGAAGAAAAAGCAUCGGCUAACUCCGUGCCAGCAGCCGCGGUAAUACGGAGGAUGCGAGCGUUAUCCGGAUUUAUUGGGUUGAAAGGGUGCGCAGGCGGUGGUUCAAGUCAGCGGUCAAAUUGCGGUGCUAAACCCCGUACGGCCGGUGACACUGCAUCCCUUGAGUGCGCGAGAAGUAUGCGGAAUGCGUGGUGUAGCGGUGAAAUGCAGAGAUAUCACGCAGAACUCCGAUUGCGAAGGCAGCAUACCGGCGCGCAACUGAUGCUCAUGCACGAAAGCGUGGGUAUCGAACAGGAUUAGAUACCCCUGUAGUC